rnacentral:ribozyme from 1 species
AAAAAACCUGGUUCAACAAAUGGGUUGGAUCCGUCGACUCUAGGAGGCUACUACAGACUCUCCUUCUCAACUCCUACUGAAAACGUCCACGACGUGCAAAACGGUAACUUGUCGCCUAGAUAUCUUAGCUUUGAUACACGGGGAAACCCACCCCUUUAGGCGGAUUGGCGGCAAGGCUGAAUUAAGAGGG